AUACUUACCUGGCAGGGGAGAUACCAUGAUCACGAAGGUGGUUUCCCCAGGGCGAGGCUUAUCCAUUGCACUGCGGAUGUGCUGACCCCUGAGAUUACCCCAAAUGUGGGAAACUUGACUGCAUAAUUUGUGUUAGUGGGGGACCACGUGUGCGCUGUCCCCUG
rnacentral:snRNA from 1 species